rnacentral:rRNA from 1 species
UACGUAGGUGACCAGCGUUGUUCGGAAUUACUGGGCGUAAAGGGCUCGUAGGCGGCCAACUAAGUCAGACGUGAAAUCCCUCGGCUUAACCGGGGAACUGCGUCUGAUACUGGAUGGCUUGAGAUUGGGAGAGGGAUGCGGAAUUCCAGGUGUAGCGGUGAAAUGCGUAGAUAUCUGGAGGAACACCGGUGGCGAAGGCGGCUACUCGCGGACCAACACGUGAG